AUGACUCUCGGCAACGGAUAUCUCGGCUCUCGCAUCGAUGAAGAACGUAGCGAAAUGCGAUACUUGGUGUGAAUUGCAGAAUCCCGUGAACCAUCGAGUCUUUGAACGCAAGUUGCGCCCGAAACCAUUAGGUUGAGGGCACGCCUGCCUGGGUGUCACAC
rnacentral:rRNA from 1 species